AUCCAGCAAGAAGAGUUUAAAGCAAUUGCUGAGUUUUAUAGCACUCGUGACGUCAGGCCCAAAUGGGAAAUUGACUAGCACUCCAGGCCAAUGGGAGGCGGCAAGAGCGGCUGCGAUUAGCAUAAUAGUAUAGAAACAAGGAAACUUUUCGGAUCUGUCAAUCAGGACCCAAUCAGCUGACUGUCAGCUGGGACGGGCUGGUUUAACCCUUCCCGCGCCGCAGCUCCCGGGGAGGGAGAGAACAAGGCCCGGAGAAAAGUUUAGUGCGAGAGGGGAAAGGAGUUUUUCAGAGGGAAGGCUAGAAUUCGGGUGGACCGGGAGGACAGUUUGUUUUUCUUCGGAGCACAAGAGAGGCCUGCCCUCUGGAGCCCCAGAUCGCCCGCCACUCGCUCUGCUAGGAUUGGCCUAACUCCCCUUCCCUGACUGUCCCCCACCCCCGGGACUGUGGACUGGCCUUUUGACUUUUCCUCCUCGCUGCAUGUUGGGCAUUCCAGGUGUCUUCCGGGGGACAUUUCUUCCCUCAGCCUGGCUGCGCUGGGAGCCCAAACUUGGACUAACUCUUUGUCCCUCCCUCCGGUGCGCUGGGGGGAUGCGCGGGGUGCCGGGAUCACUACUGCGCGCGGGACCCCACCAGGGUGAGCCAGCCCCAGCGCCUUGGAGUCCGCGGAGAAAGAAAGUCCAUUCUAUCACCCUGUUUUUAAGGAGGUGAAAUAAGUUGUUUAGGGCCAUUCCCUGCAGAGACCUGCUAACGUCGCGUGCCGGGUGCGGGGAGGGAGGCUCCGAAGCCAGAGUUAACUCCGGGAAAGCUGAGUUGGGUCAGCCAGGGUCCCGACUCCGGGCACAGUUGUUUUGCCUUUGAAAUUUCUCUCUCUCUCUCUCUCUCUCUCUCUCUCUCUCUCUCUCUCUCUCUCUCUCACACACACACACACACACACACACUCACCAUCCCCUUAUGAAAUUCGACCCUGUUUAUCAGGGUCUGGCGCGCGCCUUUUGCUCUUUAACGUUUCACUUAUUUCAGGCUUGAUGGUGGUGGGGAACAGGGAGAAAAACACAAUCCCCCAAACCUCACUAGCUCCCCUCAAGGGUUAAAUUUUAAACCGCUUUUUCUCGGACAAGCCCGGAAACCCGGGGUGUAGGGGGAUUGCUCACAAUUGCAAAUGCUAAUAAGUAGUUCAAUUUUUUAGAUCGAUUCUUUAAAGCUGGAGAGAGAGAGAGAGAGAGAGAGAGAGAGAGAGAGAGAGAGAGAGAGAAGCAAGAGAGUAAAGGGAAGAAACCGACAAUUCUUUUCUAAGAUUUUAAAGCGAUAGGCAAGUUGGAGGAGCCGAGAUUUAUUUGGGGGUAAGCAAGGUUGUGGGAAGCCGACCCAUAUUUGAAAGUCCAGCCCACCUGCUUGGUAGUUGGGACUGUUGAUUCCAGCUAUUAAUGAAAUGCACUUGGUGUUAAUCGAAUUUUUUUUAACUUUAUGGGAGGGACACACACACACACACACACACACACACACACACACACACUCACUCACAAAUUAUGAAAAGCCUGCAAAAGAUCGAAGAGUGAAAACUAUUGUUGGACCGAGUUGGUUUUUACCUCAACAGCGCCACCUUUCGGCAAAGGAACAUGGGGGCUCUGCAGCUAAUCCACUGGGACAUCUUGACCCAUGACCAGCUUUUCCUCCGCGACGCUUCACCUCAACAGGAGCCAGCCUCCCUGGGGCUCGUGGUGAUUCCAGCCAUGGGCCACAUCAGGCCUCGUAGGGACAGUGACUCGAGCAUUGAGUGUAUAGUAAGAGUCUUGGGUUUCUCAUCUCUAGACCACCUCAGGAUAGAUCUGGAAGGAGGGAUGCCUUCCCUCAUUGGCUCCUGGCCCCACUCUAAUGGCAGAGGUUUCAGAGAACAUCUUAGACCAGUGUGCUCCUCAGGUGCACAGUCAUGAACCUCAUCGAUGCAUGAUGCCUCCCCGAGACCUUGGGAUCCCUCGGAUUUGGUGAAUUAAGGAACAGCGAACUGUGUCAGAUGAUGUGGAAUUCCCCACCAGCCCACAUCUUGGAAGGGCAGUGACCGGCUGCCCAGAACUGACAUCACAGGGUCAGAUCUUCAUUGGUGGAAUCUCAUCACAUAUCAGGCUUUGUGGAGGCCCAACAUCUCUGCUGAUAUUUCAACAGUUUCAGUGGAAUCAUCCAGCAACCUCUGUGUUGCCAUUAUAGCUGCACACUCUUCUGGACAGUGCUUGGGGAUUUCCGUGAGGAAAGAAGAAGUCUUGCUCAAGCCCUGGUGAGGUAGACAGGACCUGGAAGUCUCCAACUCUCCUGACUUUGUGCUCUUCCUACCACCUGCACGGCCUCUCUUCCUCAUCCUGCAUGAGCUGCGAUUCACUUGCAUCUCGGGGAGGCUCCUUGACAGCGGGGACCUGGGAAGAGAUUGGCACCUGGGCUAUCCAGGUAGGUGCAGCCACUGCCCCUGCUACUACCCUCCGCUCACUGAGAGAAUUCACAGAAACGUGUGACUCGGCUUGUUUUUCUUCUAAGAACCGGAGGUGAAUGCUUGCUCCUUGGAGGAAGUUCUGUGGCUCAGAGAGAGAGAAACCAGAUCAUAUGCCAAAGUGACCUUUCUCCCCAACUGUCGCGCAACACACAAAGCUAAUUAGCCAGGUUCUAAUUGGGUUGAAGUCUGAGAGUCCUGGGGAAAGUGGCUCCGCGAAGAGGACACAGUCUGCAGGGUCCCCGCUUGGGCCUGUUCUCCCUCGGUGACUUGUGUAUUAAAUUGGUUGAGUUUACUGGCCACAAGCUGGGUUUUCAGAUGGGAUGGCUUGGCAGCCAGCCCCUUGGAACCUCUGAGCCUAGCUGCGGUUUCUAGUCAGCAUCCUGGAAGUCGGGAUGGGCCGGGAUGGCCGGGAUGGCCGGGGCGACCGUGGCUGUGAGUUCUUCUUGCAUGCAACCACCGUGUCCUUGCCUGAGCGGGAAGACAAAUUCACACAACGGGGAGUGGCCACAUGUGGAGGCAGUGGGUACACCCAGGCUUGCAGGAGAACCGACGUGAGGCGGAAACCUGGGCUGUGGGGGCUCACCGAGGGGGCUGUGCCAUGGCUGAGGAGCCUGGAGCUCAGACCAGCGUGCGGUGAGCCUCCACCCACACCAAGAAGCCAAGAUGUGGCACAGGGCAGGGCGCAGGCUUGGGAAACAAAGCCUGCCUCCUCGCUGACCCCCUGAUGGGAAGCAGGCCAGCACCAGGCUCUGGUCAAGGGCCCAGGGACACCAAAGCCACUUGGCUUCGGACUUGAGGGCUAACCUAAGCUUUGCGCAAUGCCAAGAGAGCAAUCCCGCUCCUUUAAUUCCAGUGCAGACCUUGGAUAAUGUGGGAAGGUAAAGAAAAGGAAAUCACGAGCCAGGUCGCGCGCUUUAUUUUCCGGUAGCUCCCAGGCGUGGUUCACAGGGCCAUCACGUCUUAGUACACACAGGUGGCGUGCGCUGCGUUACUCAAUGGCAGGCACCUCGUGACCCUUCUGCACGAAUCCAGGAGUGAGAAGACGGGGCAGGGAAUGUGAAAGAGAAGAGCAAAGGGAGCAGCUGGCCCUGGAGACAGUGACCAGACAGGACGUCCAACCUGGUGUCGCCCCACCGCAGGGGUUCACUGGGGGUGGAACUUCUUUUGGGGAGCUGUGUGUGUCAUGUGCCUGCUUCCAGAGGGCCAAGGGCGUUCCUACUCCCAAGGCCCCUUCAGAGACACUUCAACACCCUGACCACCUCCUCGUCCACUAAAGCUUCCCAGCCCACCCUGGACACUUUCGUUACGGAGUCGAUCACUGACUAUUCGUUCCUCGUUUUCUCCAUCUGUCUGUGAGAUCUUUGAGGGCUUGGAUGGUGUCUUACCUUCACACCCCCAAGAGAGCAGAGUUGCCAGCGGUUAUAACGUGAAUGACUAGAUGAGGAAGGAAGUCAGUCAGUCUGGAAAUCAGAGCUGCUGUGCAGGAAAGAGACCCUGCCCCUAGGGUGGUCCCCAGGACGGUCCCUGGGACCAGAGAGCGAAGACCUUGUCUCAAGAUUCCAUGAGAAAGGCCAACCCGUGCUUCCGCCUGCUCAUUAUUUAUCACAAUCACUUAAACCAGCUCAAAGCCCUCCUCUCCCCAAAAGGACCCAAGGAAAAGUUGACAUCUAAUGUCGAAGUCACACUUGGGUGUGGAUGAAGAGUCAAGAUAAGUUUCUUAGUAAAGGAAGCACCACGAUUCUCUGCCUGUGCGUUGAAGGUGGCCUGGGGAAGCCCGCUGUCUCAAGGGGACCACAUCCUUUCCAUGAAACGCCCGCCCGUCUCCAGGCUCUGCCCACCCCAGCCUGCUCACCUGCAUCCAGUCUUUGGCAAUCGAGAGUGAAAAGGCGUUCCCUGAGUGUCUGUGAAUGGUGCAGCUGUUUGCCCCGAUCUUUACCUUUAUUGAGCAUCUAUUCAGUGUCAGCCACCACAAAGAAAAAGAAGGAGAAAGAAGAGAAGGAAAUAAGGAGAGGAGAAGGAGAAGCCUCAGCGGUAGCAGCACUCGUAUACUGCAUGGUCCAUGACACUUACGAUGGCUUGCUCUCCGGCCCUUACAGGAGAUGUCUGCAGCUUUCAUAGAGAUCCUGGGUCCAAGCGGGUAACUCCACAGGCAGGGAUGUUUCUGCCUGGUUCAUCCUUUGCCCCAAAUGCCCAGUUCAAAGCCUCUCACAAAGCAGGCGCUCAAUAACUUGGUGAGAUGGAAGAAUGACUGAAGAGUCCUCAUCUUCCCUCCUUUGCGCUUCCCUAAGCGGCAGGAGCCCGCCAGAGCGCUCAGGCUCCACCAAUAGCCGAGGACCCUUCUGCAGCCUGGGCCCCCAGUGCCGCCCCUGCUCAUGGAGUCUGCACUGGGCCUCGCCCCACUUGUGCGCAUUCCCCCACAUUCCUCCUCCUCGUCCUGGGAAAUCUCGUUGGUCACCAGGUCUCAGCUCAAUUCCCGUCUCCCCGGGGAAUUUUUCUCUGAGCCUCAAGAAAGCCUGGAUGGUGUUUCUUCCUGCUCCACACCUCUUUGGCCUACUUGUACCCAAACUCUGACGCCUCCGUCUCGUAAUUGCUUUUUGGAGUGUUUCUCUCUCCGUCAGGUGCGGGGUGCCGGGGGACAGGGAUGCUGCUGCUGUUCAUCUUGCAUUCCUGCACCCGCGAUGAUCCGCAGCCCACAUCGGGCACUCAGAGACGUGUCGGAUGGACAGGUGGAGUGGAUGGACGGAUGAAUGAGCAGGGGGGAUGAUUGAAGGCCAAAAGCCAUUCCCCUUCACCGGUGUGUCGGGAAAGGAAUCAGAGGUGGCUUUCGGGGCUCCUUGGCCUGCCUGUGACUGGCUCCCAAGUGCUGUGGAAGACUGUUGGGGGGCGGGGGAACACCUGCUCGAUCUGAGUUCAAAACUUGCAGCGAGGUGCAAUCCAAGCAGGCAGAGAACUGGUAGGGAAUACCUGGGAAUUCAUCCUCUUCAGGGUGGUGUGAGCAUCAUGGGUUUGUAAUUCAUUUAUUUUUCUAUUUUAAUUUAUGGAACUAUUGUCCUAAUAUUAUUUGGCCAAUAAAGAAAAUAGAUAUCUGGUCGUUGGAGGCAUCUCUGCUUGGAUCCUUGGAUUGCAAAUCAGUAAUAAGAGGAAGGACAUUUUUUCAAGCCUGUGUCUGAGAAGUUGGAGGUAUCAGCAUACAGACAGUGAACACCCAUAGGGUGGAGGCAGUGGGGAAAUGGGUGCUUCACUUGUGUGUCAUAGUGGGGUGGCUGAAAGUCAGUGAUCCUGAAUGAGACUUAAGUUCAAAUUACCUAAUAAGCCAUGGUGCUAUUCGGAAUGACUUUUCCUCUCUCCCUAGAUCUUGGCUGCUCUAACACUCAGUUGCUGCAGAUAUUUAAUAAGAUGAUGUGUACAGUCGGCUCAGCACAGAGCCCAGCAUGCAGCAAGGGCUCAGUUUACACUGGCUCCUACAGCAGGCAGAAUUCUCAGAGGUCCCCCAAGAUGGCCACCCUCAUCCCCAGGACUGUGAAUACAGUGAAUGUCAUUCAUGAAUGUGACACCUGUGACUAGAUCAUGUUCCAUGGCAAAAGGGAUUUUGCAGAUGGACAUAAGGAUACAAAUCUAUUGACCUUAAGAUGAGUUAUCCAGAGGGUCUCAUCUAACUCAUAAGCUCUUGGAAAACAGAGGGAUUCUGUAGCUGGAAGCAGGAAGGGGGAGUCAGAGAGAUAUAAAGCCUGAGAAGAGUUCAAUGUUGUUGCUAGAUAAGGAUGUGAGAAGCUAACAACCCCCCACCCCACUCGACAGCUAGUGGAGAAACCAGGACCUCAGUCCUGUAACUAUAGUUAGACUAACUCUGCAAAUGAUCUGAAUGAGCUGGAAAGCAGAUUGUGCCCCCCAGGCAUUCACUGAAGAGCUCAGCCUGGUAAGUCCCUAACCGGAGAACUCAACUGAGUGCAUUUGGAAGUCCCUAACCGGAGAACUCAACUGAGCGCACUUGGACUAGUGUCCUCUAGAACUGUGACAUAACAGGUGCGUUCAUUUCAAGCUGCUACGUCAGCAACAGGAAACACUACAGCUUUCGUUAUUAUUGCACCAAUAGACUCAUUUCAGCCCGGGUGAGGCAGUGCACUGGGGGUUAUUAUUGUUUGCUUAUAGCUGAAGAAACUGAAAUUCAGAGAAGUUGAAUUUCAAGCCCACACAACUUCUAAGUGGUGGUGGUGGGGAACAGAGGCUCAAACCCAGGUCUUCUGAUAAUUUCUGUGUGUUUUGACCUGUCACCACCUCUAUGCCUCUAUGCCUGGGGCCUCAGUAGCCUCCCCGGUGGGUCUGAGUUUGUUCUCUCUGGAAACCUCCAUCCUUGUGGAUGGGAGGCUGGAGAUGACCUGUGCUGUCCUGUCUAGAACCUUGAUCUGACUGGAAGCAGCUGUGGGCGCAGAGCAAGCCAAUUUCAGAUUGGACUGUAGUCUCUGCUCUGUCCUGGCCCAGAGCCCAUGGGCAUGACCUCCUGAUAGCUACAGGCUGCUUCAUGUUGAAUCCAGUAUAUCCCUUCCUGGGGGAAGAAAGGUAGGCACUGGGCAUGAUUUGGAUGACAUCUACUUAUGAAGUUGGAGCAGGCCAGAGACAGGAGAUUGUCAGGGAGUUUGUGCUUGGCUUGUGAACUCCUAGCUUCCUGGCUGUGCCGUGAACUUGGCCACUCUUUAAGAGCUAUUGAAGUCAAUGGCAAAAUAUCCAUCACCACUGGUAAGGGCUCUGUAAAGGCUUAGAUACUACUGCACCACCUCUCUGUCGAUUGGAGUCUGGAACCUGGGAGUUUGCAGGGGGCAUUUUACCUCCUGAGGAUCAUGGUGGACUUUUGCAUAGAGAGUAUUGGCUCAAUUCUAGGCCCAUGAGGCUCCUAAGAGCUCAGUGCUAUUCUUGCUCAUUUAAAAGGCAAAGGAAUUUUAAUAGUCCAAGGGAUGGAAUUCCUCCAAGCCACUCAGGCCCUUGCUCUCUGCCACGGCUAAGAUUGAUUUGGACACCUUAGACUGAACCUUAGAACUAGCCAUAAGAAAGGGAUUCUGUCCUGAAUGGAAGCCAAGCUGGGUAACUCAGAACCUGAGCUAAGACUUCCCUGGGUCAUCAGGACUAUCCAGCUGCCCGUAGCUAUGGAUACCUGGUGAGGAGGAGCUGGAAUGCUGGAACGCAGGCUCAUUGCUGAGCUGCAGACUCUAUUGGGAUGACCUAGAGCAGAACUGACUCGCCACAGUGCUCAUCGGGUUCUACGGUGGCCCACAGGUGGACUAGGAUCACGUGCCCAUUCUGCUGUGAAGGUCUCAUGAACUUCCCUGAAUCCUUAAAGGCAUCCAUGGCUCUAGAAACCCUGAUGUAAAAAGAAUUCAGAAGAAGAAAUACACCUGUGGAAAUAAAGAAGAGUUCUGGGAUAUGACAGUGCCCACCAGAGUACUCUCACCCUGCAAGGUAAAACCCGUGAGCAAAGCCCAGCAGUCUGGAAAUCACAAGAAGGAUCUCAGCUGAAAAGAAAGCAAUGAAUGAGAAAACAGAAAUAUUCUAGGGCUUCCAUACAAUGAAGUUUGCAUUUAUCUUCCCAUACCAACUUGAGGCCACAGGAGAAGGGGUGGGUGUGGAAAUGGAGGCCCCAGCGUAGGAGAGAAUGAGAGAAGAUAUUUAUUUCAGGAUGUUGGGAGAUUUUAGUUUUCAACUUCUUUUCACGGACAAACACGUACCCCCAGAGGUCGGAAGUGACAGCAGAUACUGUAAUGUACCAGGCACAGAAGGCCUUGGGGAGACUCCAGACCCCUCUCACUGUCUUCUGACAGCUGUCAUUCAAAGCGAUCACAAAGGCCUAUUGCCACAUGCACCUGGCAGUCUUCCUCACCUUCCUUCCAGAGGGCAGAGGCCAAGCAUCAAAGCCCUCUUUCAGAACCAUCCACAAAGCCACGCUAACCUCACCUUUUGGGGGCAGAUCCAAUCACAUUUGGGGAAAAAAAGAGAUUAUGUGAAAGAUAAAUGACUUAAAAAUUGGCUUAUUGAACAUUUUGAUAUAUCAUAUUCAUUAUUCCUUUUACUGAUUAUGAAAGAAAACACAAGAAAAGCAGAAAAUAAAGCCAUGAAUGAAGAUAGUGCCUGAGAAGCACUGGUCGCCAGGA